rnacentral:rRNA from 1 species
AAUAGAUACCCGGGUAGUCCACGCCGUAAACGAUGAGUGCUAAGUGUUGGAGGGUUUCCGCCCUUCAGUGCUGCAGCUAACGCAUUAAGCACUCCGCCUGGGGAGUACGGUCGCAAGACUGAAACUCAAAGGAAUUGACGGGGGCCCGCACAAGCGGUGGAGCAUGUGGUUUAAUUCGAAGCAACGCGAAGAACCUUACCAGGUCUUGACAUCUCCUGACCGCCCUGGAGACAGGGUCUUCCCUUCGGGGACAGGAUGACAGGUGGUGCAUGGUUGUCGUCAGCUCGUGUCGUGAGAUGUUGGGUUAAGUCCCGCAACGAGCGCAACCCUUGGUUCUAGUUGCCAGCAUUGAGUUGGGCACUCUAGAGCGACUGCCGGCGACAAGUCGGAGGAAGGUGGGGAUGACGUCAAAUCAUCAUGCCCCUUAUGACCUGGGCUACACACGUGCUACAAUGGAUGGUACAAAGGGCAGCAAAGCGGCGACGCAUGAGCGAAUCCCAGAAAACCAUUCUCAGUUCGGAUUG